UACAGGGGGGGCAAGCGUUGUUCGGAAUUACUGGGCGUAAAGGGCGCGUAGGCGGCCUGCUAAGUCGAACGUGAAAUCCCCGGGCUCAACCCGGGAACUGCGUCCGAUACUGGCAGGCUUGAAUUCGGGAGAGGGAUGCGGAAUUCCAGGUGUAGCGGUGAAAUGCGCAGAUAUCAGGAAGAACACCUAUGGCGAAGGCAGCUCUCUGGGACGGUACUGACGCUGAGACGCGAAAGCGUGGGGAGCGAACAGG
rnacentral:rRNA from 1 species